rnacentral:rRNA from 1 species
AUUGAACGCUGGCGGCAGGCUUAACACAUGCAAGUCGAGCGGGGUGAUGGUGCUUGCACUAUCACUUAGCGGCGGACGGGUGAGUAAUGCUUAGGAAUCUGCCUAUUAGUGGGGGACAACAUCUCGAAAGGGAUGCCAAUACCGCAUACGGCCUACGGGAGAAAGCAGGGGAUCACUUGUGACCUUGCGCUAAUAGAUGAGCCUAAGUCGGAUUAGCUAGUUGGUGGGGUAAAGGCCUACCAAGGCGACGAUCUGUAGCGGGUCUGAGAGGAUGAUCCGCCACACUGGGACUGAGACACGGCCCAGACCCCUACGGGAGGCAGCAGAGGGGAAUAUUGGACAAUGGGGGGAACCCUGAUCCAGCCAUGCCGCGUGUGUGAAGAAGGCCUUAUGGUUGUAAAGCACUUUAAGCGAGGAGGAGGCUCUUUUGGUUAAUACCCAAGAUGAGUGGACGUUACUCGCAGAAUAAGCACCGGCUAACUCUGUGCCAGCAGCCGCCGCGG